GUAAUAUAAGAUACUAUUUCUUAGCUUUUAACUAAAAAAGCUAAGAGGCGUCUCUUAUAUUUAAGAGACGUCUCUUAGCUUUUUUAGUUAAAAGCUAAGAGACUGUAUUUUAUAUUAC
rfam:Brassica oleracea var. oleracea cultivar TO1000 chromosome C7, whole genome shotgun sequence